GACUUACCGUUUCUCUGUCUCUCUCUGCGCCGGCCGCUAGUGAACUCUGCGAGUGAUGCCUUCGCUUCGAUGGCAGCUCCCACUCUGAAACGAGUCCUUCUCUCUCCUCCAAAACUCAUAAAACCCAAUUCUCUCUCCUACUUCUCCUCCCAAUCAUCUACAUCGGCGGAUCAACCCCCUAUAGUUUCCACCGUCGUUUCACUUCUUACCCACCACCGCUCCAAAUCCCGAUGGAACCAUCUCCGCUCUCUCCUUUCAUCUACCAACACCCUCACCCCUGUGCACUUUUCCCAAAUCGCUUUCCAUUUAAAAUCGAAUCCCCAUCUUGCCCUCCGCUUCUUCCACUUCACUCUACACAACUCUUUCUGCUCCCACAACCUGUACUCUUACUCCACCAUCAUCCACAUCCUCUCCCGGGCUCGCCUCAAGUCUCCUGCCCAGUCUAUUAUCCGGGCUGCUCUCCCCUCCCCCGUGUUGUUUGAUCGUAGUAUUGCCCCAGUGAAAUUCUUAG
rnacentral:misc_RNA from 1 species